rnacentral:tRNA from 1 species
UCCCUGGUGGUCCAAUGGUUAGAACUCUGCCUUCCAGUGCAGGGGUCCAGGUUUGAUACCUGGUCAGGGAA